AAAUAAGAAGCGAAAAUUGCAAUCAGUUUCGACCUGACCAUCUUGAUGUUAAAUCAUCCUUAUUUA
rnacentral:tRNA from 2 species